rnacentral:rRNA from 1 species
CGGCGGACGGGUGAGUAACGCGUGGGUAACCUACCCCAAAGUCCGGGAUAACAGCGGGAAACCGCUGCUAAUACCGGAUGCCUUUACCUUGGGGCAUCUUGAGGUAAAGAAAGGCAACGCUUUGGGAUGGGCCCGCGUCCCAUUAGCUAGUUGGUGAGGUAACGGCUCACCAAGGCGACGAUGGGUAGCCGGCCUGAGAGGGUGGACGGCCACACUGGGACUGAGACACGGCCCAGACUCCUACGGGAGGCAGCAGUAGGGAAUAUUGCGCAAUGGACGGAAGUCUGACGCAGCGACGCCGCGUGAGCGAUGAAGGUCUUCGGAUCGUAAAGCUCUGUCCUUGGGGAAGAAGGCGAAAGCUUGACGGUACCCAAGAAGAAAGCCCCGGCUAACUACGUGCCAGCAGCCGCGGUAAUACGUAGGGGGCGAGCGUUGUCCGGAAUUACUGGGCGUAAA